GAGAGAGACAGUGAGUGGGACUAUCAUCACCGGGCUACUAAGAGCACCCCCAGUCUGUUACACUGAGUUGCUGGCUGACCUUCAGCAAUGAAGAUCCUUUGUCUGCUGUUUGCUGUUUUCCUUCUAGUGCUCCAGGGUGCACCAGAAUUCUCCCAGGCUAAGAAUCCCUUCCUGCAAUGUAGACUCCGUGGGGGUAAUUGUUACUUUAAGAGAUGUCUCUUCAAUUCUAAAAUCAUUGGCAUAUGUGAUAGACAUCAUUUCUGCUGUGAAAGGCAACUUUUUGACUGAUUGUCUAGGGAGGAUCUCUGGGAAUCUGGCACACAGCCACUUGCUUCUAAAAUCAUCAAAUCCUGCUUCAAUGGAACACUGAUGUGCUGUUUAUUUAGGCUGUAAAAAAUCUUGUGAGUUGGAAAAAUUCCA